GGACAUGGACAUGGGGAAGGCCAUGGACAUGGACACGGUCAUGGGCAUGGUCAUGGUCAUGGUGGUGGUCAUGGUCAUGGUUAUGCUCAUGAUUUCUAUGGACGUUUCGGAAGUGGAAUCAUUCUCCCUCAUAACACCUUCGGAGUCACCUAUGAAAAGAAAUCCGA